GCCAUGCCGCGUGUGUGAAGAAGGUCUUCGGAUUGUAAAGCACUUUAUGUUGGGAGGAAGGGNNUUANNUUAAUACUUUNGUGUUUUGACGUUACCGACAGAAUAAGCACCGGCUAACUNCGUGCCAGCAGCCGCGGUAAUACGUAGGGUGCAAGCGUUAAUCGGAAUUACUGGGCGUAAAGCGCGCGUAGGUGGUUAGUUAAGUUGGAUGUGAAAUCCCCGGGCUCAACCUGGGAACUGCAUUCAAAACUGACGAGCUAGAGUAUGGUAGAGGGUGGUGGAAUUUCCUGUGUAGCGGUGAAAUGCGUAGAUAUNCGAAGGAACACCAGUGGCGAAGGCGACCNCCUGGACCUGAUACUGACACUNAUGUGCGAAAGCGUGGGGAGCAAACAGGAUUAG
rnacentral:rRNA from 1 species